rnacentral:rRNA from 1 species
GACGAACGCUGGCGGCGUGCUUAACACAUGCAAGUCGAACGGAAAGGCCCCUUUUGGGGUCCUCGAGUGGCGAACGGGGGAGUAACACGUGAGUAACCUGCCCUUGACUUCGGGAUAACUUCAGGAAACUGGGGCUAAUACCGGAUAGGAAUCCUUUCUGCAUGGUGGGGGUUGGAAAGCUUCGGCGGUUUUGGAUGGACUUGCGGCUUAUCAGCUUGUUGGUGGGGUAGUGGAUUACCAAGGCGUUGACGGGUAGCCGGACUGAGAGGGCGACCGGCCACAUUGGGACUGAGAUACGGCCCAGACUCCUACGGGAGGCAGCAGUGGGGAAUAUUGAACAAUGGGCGGAAGCCUGAUGCAGAAACGCCGCGUGCGGGAGGACGGCCUUCGGGUUGUAAACCGAUUUCAGCAGGGGCGAAGCUUGUGGUGACGGUACCUGCAGAAGAAGCACCGGCUAACUACGUG